rnacentral:rRNA from 1 species
GAUGAACGCUAGCGGCAGGCCUAAUACAUGAAAGACGAACGGUAAGUUUGAUAGCAAUACUGAACCAAGAGUGUCGUAAGGGUGCGUAACACGUAUGCAAUCUGCCCCCCACAGGAGUAUAGCUCGGGGUAACUCGAAUUACCCCUCCAUAAGUUUUUGUUGUGCCACUCCUCAGCAAUUAAAACCACGGUGGCUGAGGAUGAGCAUGCGCAUGACUAGUUCGCUGGCGGGGUAACGGCCCACCAAGACGAUGAUCAUUAGGGGAACUGAGAGGUUGAUCCCCCACACUGGCACUGAGAUACGGGCCAGACUCCUACGGGAGGCAGCAGUAGGGAAUAUUGGACAAUGGGUGAGAGCCUGAUCCAGCCAUGCCGCGUGCAGGAAGAAGGCCUUCUGGGUUGUAAACUGCUUUUAUCUGGGGAUAAAAAGGCCUUGCGAGGCAAACUGAAGGUACCAGAUGAAUAAGCCACGGCUAACUACGUGCCAGCCGCCGCGGUAAUAC